GUGCCAGCAGCCGCGGUAAGACGAGGGGUCCAAGCGUUGUUCGGAAUCAUUGGGCGUAAAGCGGGUGUAGGUGGUUCUAUAAGUCAGGAGUGAAAGCCCCGAGCUUAACUUGGGAAGUGCUUUUGAUACUGUAGAACUUGAAUGUGGGAGAGGAUCGUGGAAUUCCAGGUGUAGUGGUGAAAUACGUAGAUAUCUGGAGGAACACCGGUGGCGAAGGCGGCGAUCUGGCCCAACAUUGACACUGAGACCCGAAAGCGCGGGGAUCAAACAGGAUUAGAUACCCUGGUAGUCCGCGCCGUAAACGAUGAACACUUGGUGUUGGAGGUAUUGACCCCUUCAGUGCCGAAGCUAACGCGUUAAGUGUUCCGCCUGGGGAGUACGGCCGCAAGGUUAAA
rnacentral:rRNA from 1 species